AUUGAACGCUGGCGGCAGGCCUAACACAUGCAAGUCGAGCGGAUGACGGGAGCUUGCUCCUUGAUUCAGCGGCGGACGGGUGAGUAAUGCCUAGGAAUCUGCCUGGUAGUGGGGGACAACGUUUCGAAAGGAACGCUAAUACCGCAUACGUCCUACGGGAGAAAGCAGGGGACCUUCGGGCCUUGCGCUAUCAGAUGAGCCUAGGUCGGAUUAGCUAGUUGUUGAGGUAAUGGCUCACCAAGGCGACGAUCCGUAACUGGUCGGAGAGAAUGAUCAGUCACACUGGAACUGAGACACGGUCCAGACUCCUACGGGAGGCAGAAGUGGGGAAUAUUGGACAAUGGGCGAAAGCCUGAUCCAGCCAUGCCGCGUGUGUGAAGAAGGUCUUCGGAUUGUAAAGCCCUUUAAGUUGGGAGGAAGGGCAGUAAGCUAAUACCUUGCUGUUUUGACGUUACCGACAGAAUAAGCACCGACUAACUCCGUGCCAGCAGCCGCCGUAA
rnacentral:rRNA from 1 species